GGCUGGAGAAGUCAUUCUAAAUUGCAUUUUCAGUUGAAUUUGGAGAAACCACUUGAAGCAUUUAUUGUGUUGAACUAUUUCAAUUGCUUUUGUUUGAUUUGUUCAUCGCAAACAGCUGAAAGUCUGAACAUUUUCACAAUAAACCUGUUGGGUUUUUUUGGGUGAGUGACCUGCACUCCACGUUGCGAGCUGAUCAAUAGCGCUCAGAGCUUAUCUCCCACUUCCAUUUACUGUUUGACUAAAAGCCUUGGAGGCCACAUAAAGAGGAGCAGAAGGGAGCAGACCGACCUGAACUUAGCUCGUAUCGUCAAAAUGAACUGCUGCUGGGCGAUCACUGGCGUAGAGACGAUGGGAACGUGUGCUGGAAUUUGUAAAUGUGAUCGCACACAUGCUGUGGAGACCUGAAAGCUUGAUGACGGCCAUCUUUACGAUUGGAUCCAGAGGAUGACGGGGAACCUGGAGCCUAUCCCUGGAGCAUCGGGCACAAGGCGGGGUACACCAUGGACAGGGUGCCAAUCCAUCACAGGGCACAAUCACAUACACACACACACACCCAUUCAUACACUAUGGAUAUAGACAUGCCAAUCAGCCUACCAUGCAUGUCUUUGGACUGGGGGAGGAAACCAUGUGUG